rnacentral:rRNA from 1 species
UACGUAGGGUGCGAGCGUUUAUCCGGAUUCACUGGGUUUAAAGGGUGCGUAGGUGGGUCUGUAAGUCAGUGGUGAAAUCUCCGGGCUUAACCUGGAAACUGCCAUUGAUACUAUAGGUCUUGAAUUUUCUGGAGGUAAGCGGAAUAUGUCAUGUAGCGGUGAAAUGCUUAGAUAUGACAUAGAACACCAAUUGCGAAGGCAGCUUGCUACAGGAAUAUUGACACUGAGGCACGAAAGCGUGGGGAUCAAACAGG